rnacentral:lncRNA from 1 species
AUUUAUGUUUUCUUUGUGUGUUUGAAUAUUGUUUAUUAGUGAGUUACUUAGUGUUUAGGUGUUGCUUUGUUAUAAUUUUAAAUAUUAUUUGGAUAUUAAGUGAAUGGCUUAAUGGAUGAUGAAAAGAAAGUCCAUGACCUUAAUAGAAACAAAAACGUUGCAUCAUUUCUCACCAAGGAUUCCUAAUUGCACAUGGUUUUAUUUUGCUAUUAUUACUUAGACUUUGUGAGAUGGUAGCUAGGUAUUACUUCUUGACUCUCACUAUUAUGUUAAUUGUUUGGAUUAAU